GAAGCAGGCCAGACAGCCGCUGGCUGACGGUAAUGCGUUGGCGGGAGGAAGGUCCGGACUCCAUAGAGCAGGGUGACGGUUAACGGCCGUCCGCCGAAAGGGCGCAAGCUUAUAAGGCGAGGAAUAGGGCCACAGAGACGAGCGUAUUCAGUUACGGUGAAACGCGGUAACCUCCACUCGGAGCAAUUCCAAAUAGGCACGCGAUGAUGUUGCUCGCGGAGCGUGCGGGUAGGAAGCUUGAGCGCCGGAGUAAUUCGGCGCCUAGAGGAAUGGCUGUCAUAGCGGGCGUUCGCAAGGGCGCCCGCCGUAACAAAAUCCGGCCUAUCGGCCCGCUUCACAU
rnacentral:RNase_P_RNA from 1 species